ACAAAAAAAAUGUCAUUUUUGUAGCUAAUUUAUAGCGGUCCGUAGCUAACUAGCGACGAAUAUGAUCCGUCGCCACUCUCUAGCUAAAUAGCUACUAAUUAGCGAGGAGUAAAUUGUCGCCGAAAGAUUUAUAGUUUGAAACACAUGGCUAUAAAUGUUUAUGUAUCUAACUAAUAUGUAUGUGUUAUAUGUUUGAAAUUUUUGUUUGUGAUAUAUGUUUGAUACUAGUAAUGUUUGAAUUAAGAUAAUGUGUAUUUGUGUUAUAUAUUUGAAACACUUCAAUUUUUAUGUUUAUCAUGUUUGCUACUUUGCUUGAUACUUGAGUUAGAUAUUAUAGUAUAGGGUUUAGAUUUUAGGGGUUUGUGGUUUGGGACUUAUAUUUAAAUUUUAAACUUAAAUCCAAACUAUAAUAUAAUCAUAAUACAUGUAAAAUUGAUAAAAGGAGUUACAAUUAAUCAAUGGCAAUUAAUUAGUGAUCGAAAAAAUGAAGAAAUAUUAUCAUCAGUGUAUCAAGCAGGACAAAGAUGAUUUGUAGUUUUAGGGGUUACACUUUAAAAUAUGAAAUUUAUAGUUUUAGGGAUUACAAGAGAAUAAUAUUUGGUUCUGACUAUAUUUCCCUCCAUAAGAUUUGACUCCAAAAAUUGGCUCCAAUAAUAUUUUUGGUUUUGGCUCCAAUACAUUUUUGGCCCAAAUUUAUCACUUAUGCAAACACUAACAUGUCUCCACACUUGAAAAAAAAAGAACUCUCUACCUCUCGAAGUCUCUCUGUUUUUUUCUCUCUCAAUACCAGCGAGUCACCUCCGACUCUUCUUCUGACCAGAAUCCUCAUGGCUUGCACCGAACUACUUGUGAAUCGUCGUUGCCUACGACCACCCGAGUUAAAUCUCCCCCGUUAGUUCUCCUUCUAUGACUUGUUUUAGAUUAGGGUUUCGAUUUGUCCAUAGUUCUCCGUCUUCUUCUUCUUCUUCUUCUUCUUCUUCUAUUUAUUGUUCUGGACUAGUCAACGAUUAGGGUUUCAAUUAGUUUCAGUAUUAGAGUUUUGAUUUGGGUCUGUUUAGGCUUAGGGUUUCGAUCUGGGGGGUUUUUAUUUUACGGUUUCGAUUUGGGUCAGUGUAGGAUUAGGGUUUCGGUUUAGGGACAAAUGAUUAUUCUAUACUAGUCAUCGAUUAGGAUUGUUCUUAUCUCUGCUUUGCUGGUUUAUGUCAAUGGUUUUCUUUUUCGUUUAAAAAUUAGUCUUUGAAAUUGAUCUUUUGUUUUGGGAAAAGAUUCACUGAAGGUUCUUCUUUUCUUAUAGAUCCCCAUUGACAAGUGAUGGUUUUGUAGCCAAACGUCUGGAGAAAAUUGCCAAAGAAGUUGAAUCCAUUAUUGUUUCACAACACUUCUCCAGCUUCGACCAGGAGGUUCCAACUCACAAACAUCAGCCACACCACUUCCACGAGUUCAUGCUUCUUACUCGGUUUUGUAGAUAGCCAAGCCAUAUAAAGGAUAGUUGGAGCGAGAUUUGAUAAAUCUGACAGGAGCUGUCAACAUGAUGAGCAAGCAACUGACUCUUUUAUGUGAAGCUAAAGGUGUCACAGUAUCACCAAUACCAUAAGCCGAGAAACCACAUAAUACAUCAAAGCAUUCCAAACACAAACAUCACCAAUUGAAGUGGCAGCUACAUCUGACUCUUCUCCAUCCACUCCCCCCCCCCAUCACCAACAAGAAGGGAAUCUAAUUAUGGCAACCACCAAAUAAACAAACGAGUUUGAUGUCUUCUGCUUUUAGUUUUCACUUAUUGGUUUAGCUUCUUGUUUGUGUACUCGAAGUUUAAAAUCGACAUUUUUGUUAUGUAUGAUAAUUUCAGAUUUCUUAUAAUAAUAUAAUGUUUUAAAAUCGUUUA